UUUUCUGUCAACUUUUCUUAAGUUUUAAAAGUCAACAUUUUAAACAAAAAAUACUGAAAAAUAUUAUAAAUUUUGAAUUUGAUAGAUUCAUAUUUAAUAGAUGUCGGUUACAGGCUAUUUACACUGACGACCAUUCACUAUCUAUUUCGGGGAUGGUCCGUAGGGCUUUGCCGUUCCGAAACGUUCCAUUCCCAGAACGGGACAGAUCCAACUGCUGCUCUAGUAUUAUUUUUGCAACCAAGGCACCGCACCAAAGCGGAUUAAACUGGAAAAUCUGGAGGAGAUUGUUCGGAAAUUCUUGAAGUCCAGAUGGAGCAGCAUAAAUUACAGGAAAUUACAGAAUUACAGCACCAGGAAACAAAGCGAGAGAUACUCUAGCAAAUUGCGAGCAGUCAAGACCAAACUCACUUCCAAAUAGAGGUGCUGCAAUUUUUAAGGGAGUCCAAAGAGUAACGUUAAUUCUCAGACCAAAACUUUAUCAUUAUAUUCUCAUCAGCUGAUUUUUGACGGAUAAUAGAUGGUGGAUGGUGACAUUGUGAAUCGGG